GACGAACGCUGGCGGCGUGCCUAACACAUGCAAGUCGAACGAUGAAGCCGGAGCUUGCUCUGGUGAAUUAGUGGCGAACGGGUGAGUAACACGUGAGUAACCUGCCCUUGACUCUGGGAUAACUGCGGGAAACUGUAGCUAAUACCGGAUACGACCCUCGGAGGCAUCUCCUGGGGGUGGAAAGAAUUUCGGUCAAGGAUGGACUCGCGGCCUAUCAGCUAGUUGGUGAGGUAAAGGCUCACCAAGGCGACGACGGGUAGCCGGCCUGAGAGGGUAACCGGCCACACUGGGACUGAGACACGGCCCAGACGCCUACGGGAGGCAGCAGUGGGGAAUAUUGCACAAUGGGCGCAAGCCUGAUGCAGCAACGCCGCGUGAGGGAUGACGGCCUUCGGGUUGUAAACCUCUUUUAGUAGGGAAGAAGCGAAAGUGACGGUACCUGCAGAAAAAGCACCGGCUAACUACGUGCCAGCCGCCGCCGUAA
rnacentral:rRNA from 1 species